CGUAACACGUGAGCAACCUGCCGAUCUGAGGGGGGAUAGCCGGCCCAACGGCCGGGUAAUACCGCAUACGCUUCUUGAGGGACAUCCCUUGGGAAGGAAACCUCCGGGGCAGAUCGAGGGGCUCGCGGCCUAUCAGCUAGUUGGUGAGGUAACGGCUCACCAAGGCAUCGACGGGUAGCUGGUCUGAGAGGAUGGCCAGCCACAUUGGGACUGAGAGACGGCCCAG
rnacentral:rRNA from 1 species